rnacentral:rRNA from 15 species
GGGUGCGAUCAUGCUAGCCCUAAAGCACCGGAUCCCAUCAGAACUCCGAAAUUAAGCUUGCUUGGGCGAGAGUAGUACUAGUAUAGGUACCUUGGGAAGUCAUGUUGCACUCC